ACCGGCAGCUCAAGUGGUGGCCAUUAUUAUUGGGCCUAAAGCGUUCGUAGCCGGUUUGAUAAGUCUCUGGUGAAAUCCCGCAGCUUAACUGUGGGACUUGCUGGAGAUACUAUCAGACUUGAGGUCGGGAGAGGUUAGGGGUACUCCCAGGGUGGGGGUGAAAUGCAAUAAUCGUGGGAGGACGAACUGAGGCGCAGGUGCGUGACUGGAAGGCGCCUGACGGGUAGUACCGUGUUGCAUGGGUGCGAACGU
rnacentral:rRNA from 1 species